GACGAACGCUGGCGGCGUGCUUAACACAUGCAAGUCGAACGGAAAGGCCCUGCUUUUGUGGGGUGCUCGAGUGGCGAACGGGUGAGUAACACGUGAGUAACCUGCCCUUGACUUUGGGAUAACUUCAGGAAACUGGGGCUAAUACCGGAGAGGAGCUCCUGCUGCAUGGGGGGGGUUGGAAAGUUUCGGCGGUUGGGGAUGGACUCGCGGCGUAUCAGCUUGUUGGUGGGGUAGUGGCUUACCAGGGCUUUGACGGGUAGCCGGCCUGCGAGGGGGACCGGCCACAUUGGGACUGAGAUACGGACCAGACUCCGACGGGAGGCAGCAGUGGGGAAUAUUGCACAAUGGGCGGAAGCCUGAUGCAGCAGCGCCGCGUGCGGGAUGACGGCCUUCGGGUUGUAAACCGCUUUCGCCUGUGACGAAGCGUGAGUGACGGUAAUGGGUAAAGAAGCACCGGCUAACUACGUG
rnacentral:rRNA from 1 species